GUGUCUAAAGUAUAUUAUAAGUGACUUACUCUGUAUUGUUUGAAAUCAUAACACAUGAUUCAACUAUUUAAAAGAAACAAAAGUUAAACUUCUUCUUUUAAGUUAUUAUAUAUUGUUGAUUAUGAAUCUUAUUUAUCAUCAACGUUAGACCAGGAGUUUUUUAUGUAACAGCCUAGCUAAAUAAUCAGAACAGAAUAAGCUCAAAUUAGUUUGAUAAUUUCAUGUUAUAGUUUGUUU
rnacentral:lncRNA from 1 species